ensembl:snRNA U6 U6 spliceosomal RNA
GUCUUCCCUUUGGCAGGACAUAGAUGAAAAUCGGAACACUGUAGAGAUUAGCAUGGACCCUGCCCAAGGAUAACACACAAAUUUGUGAAGCCUUCCAGAUUUUC